CAGAGUGAGGAGCAGUUUGAGAGAUCUCGGGAAACAUCUGAGAACGUCACAGCGGUCGAGUGGAAACUCUCAGCAGAGCUCGUUGUUGAACUCCACACACACACACACACACACACACACACACACACACACACACACACACACACACACACACACACACACGACAUGUGCUGUACUCCAGCUGAGUGGUUGUGGCACGUCAGUCCAAGUCUGGCUGGAGUUGAAAGCACCGAGGUCAUAUGGUCUCUCCGUGGUUUCCAAGUCGUUGCACGUGGCUCCGCACUGUGUCUCACGGGGACAUCGAGACGUCAAGAGGAAAGUAGAGGGCACCUCACAGGACUCGUUCUAAGUGGGAGAACAUACACUGGUCAAAAUAAACAACCAAUCAGAGAUCACAGGCUUUGCGGCCCAUGUUUAUGUUUUGACAGUGCAUACAUUGUUUGUUUACACGCGUCUAUAAUUACACUGUCAGCCGGUCCCUGCGUGUGAGAGCCGGUGGCCAUGCGAGGUCAGGCGAUUUUCCACAGGUCUCCUGAUGCACACACGUCACACGUUGACACGGCUGUUAUGGAGUCACAUUUGUCUCCUUGUUACCUUGAACACAUUGGUGUGGGAUCAGCCUUGCCUUAUACAACGUUGCAGCUGCAGGCGGAGAGGUUUCUCUCAGUCGGAGCUGUUGCUAGACGCAUCAGUUCCUGUUUUACGAGUUCCAAGGAGAGUUCCUGAGGUCAAGUUCAUCACCAGAGGCCCGACUUCAUGAUGAAGGACGUCUGCCAACACAAGCUGAAAUAACCAUCUUCUAUUUGUGGGACUCAUGAGUUCUCCGCUUUUAAAAACGUCAUCUUUCUGGUUAAUAAGAUUUAACAUAUUUAUGUAGGUUUGAGAGACAGAAGCAAAGUUCUGUAAUGUGCAAAGAAAAAUGGUAGCGAGGGUUAUAAUUAAUAAUAUUAUAUCUGUGUAUAUGUUUUGGAUUUUUGGAUAUUAAAGGCUAAAAAGUUGAGUGAAAUUAACUGUGGUUAUAAUCUCAUGUCUUCCAUGAAAGAGCUUUAUUUCCUGUGCUUAAAGUUCCAGAGCGCAGAGGUCAUGUGAGGUCAGGGGUUCGUCGCCCCAAACGAUCUCAGCCAGAACCUGUGUCUGGCUCUAAGCUCCUAGCUGACCUCAGGCUCCCUUCCCCGGCCGACAGGACGUCCCAGCAUCACACCAUAUUCGACAAUGACCACACCCCGUCCACAGAGUACAACUGGAGAGACCAGCGGGCCAAUGGUUGAGGAGCUUUCCAUGUAAACCCAGAUGACCCAGGCAGCUGUCUGAAUCCGAAUCAGCUCUCUUCCCUUUCUCUCAUGGAAUUUCUCCUGUUGAAUGGAGAAUUACUGCCUGUGUCUGAAUGUCACAUAUUUGCCACGACUUCUUCCCAGAUGUCAAAUGGUAUUUUCAGAGUUAUCUUCCAAACAGGAACUGGGUAAAGCACAAAUGGUUUAUUUCAAUUUCUGUUUCUAUUCCCAGGAAAUAUCUAAAACCUGAUGGUUAACACGCAAAACUCUGUUCCACUGUCAAAGGCUGUGUUUGUCACCGAGUUGUAUUUAAUGGAAUCUCAUCCAAAUAUUGAUCUGAAGAGUGUUUAACCUUUUGAAGGGGUAAUUUGGAAUAAAUACUUCAAAAAUAGGUCUA